UGGGUUGGCCAACAAGUUCGUUUGGGUUUUCUGUAAAACCAUAUGGAAAAACCCAAACGAACUUUUUGGCUAACCCAAUA
rnacentral:miRNA from 1 species